rnacentral:rRNA from 1 species
ACGGGUGAGUAACACGUAGGAACUUGCCUUAUAGUGGGGGAUAACCAAGGGAAACUUUGGCUAAUACCGCAUGAACUCGAGAGAGUAAAGUUGCCGCAAGGUGACGCUAUAAGAGAGGCCUGCGUCCGAUUAGCUAGUUGGUGAGGUAAGAGCUCACCAAGGCGAUGAUCGGUAACUGGUCUGAGAGGACGACCAGUCACACUGGGACUGAGACACGGCCCAGACUCCUACGGGAGGCAGCAGUGGGGAAUCUUGGACAAUGGGGGCAACCCUGAUCCAGCGAUGCCGCGUGAGUGAAGAAGGCCUUCGGGUCGUAAAGCUCUUUAGGUUGGGAAGAAGUUUGUAGGGAGAUAAUACCUACAGAUUGACGGUACCGACAGAAUAAGCACCGGCAAACUCUGUGCCAGCAGCCGCGGUAAUACAGAGGGUGCGAGCGUUAAUCGGAAUUACUGGGCGUAAAGGGCGCGUAGGCGGUUUAAUGGGUGUGAUGUGAAAGCCCUGGGCUUAACCUGGGAAGUGCAUCGCAAACUAUUGAACUGGAGUAUAUGAGAGGGUGGCGGAAUUUCCGGUGUAGCGG